UAAACGCUGGCGGCGCACAUAAGACAUGCAAGUUGAACGGACUUAAUCGAAAUAUUUAUAUUUUGAAGCGGUUAGUGGCGGACUGGUGAGUAACGCGUAAGGAACCUGCCUAUUAGAGGGGAAUAACAGUGAGAAAUCAUUGCUAAUACCGCAUAUGCCAUAGAUAUCACAUGAUAACAGUGGGAAAGGAGCAAUCCGCUAAUAGAUGGCCUUGCGUCUGAUUAGAUAGUUGGUGGGGUAACGGCCUACCAAGUCGACGAUCAGUAGCCGGACUGAGAGGUUGACCGGCCACAUUGGGACUGAGAUACGGCCCAGACUCCUACGGGAGGCAGCAGUCGGGAAUAUUGCGCAAUGGAGGAAACUCUGACGCAGUGACGCCGCGUAUAGGAAGAAGGUUUUCGGAUUGUAAACUAUUGUCGUUAGGGAAGAGAAAGGACAGUACCUAAGGAGGAAGCUCCGGCUAACUACGU
rnacentral:rRNA from 1 species